GCCGGGUGUGGUGGCGGGCACCUGUAGUCCCAGCUACUCGGGAGGCUGAGGCAGGAGAAUCACUUGAACCUGGGAGGCGGAGGUUGCAGUUAGCCGAGAUCGUGCCACUGCACUCCAGCCUGGGCCACAGAGCAAGGCUCUGUCUCAAAAAAAAAAAAAAAAAAAAAGAUGUUAUUGAUUUUUUUUUUGAGAGGGAGUCUUACUCUAUGGCCCAGGCUGGAGUGCAGCAGCACGGUCUCCGCUCACUGCAACCACUACCUUCCGGGUUCAAGUGAUUCUCCUGCCUCAG
ensembl:misc_RNA Metazoa_SRP Metazoan signal recognition particle RNA